UUCGGUUCUCUUUUCCACUGUGCUCCCUGCUAUCACAAUUUCUAUUAAUCAUAUCUAUCUGUUAAAGUAACACUUCAUGCUUAAAAAUUCCCAAGAUUCCUUAGCCUUAAUGUUGGAACUAUAUCCUCCUAGUACCUACAAAUGUUAAAUUAUCCAUUGAUUCUCGCUCAUGCAUGCACUCAAAUGGCCAAAGACAUGAAUAUAACUUUCAGACCUAACCCACGGAAUUUAACUAUCAACCAGAAUCAAUGUAUACAUUGUGGAUUGAAACCGGCUUUUAUUCUUCAUUAAUUCUUCAACUUUCUAAGAUUAUGUAUUCGCCAAUAUACCUUGCUCGCAUGGGAUGGGAUCGAUCAACCUAAGAUUGACUGUCGC
rnacentral:lncRNA from 1 species